rnacentral:tRNA from 1 species
GCCAGCAUGGUGUAAUGGUUUGAGUGUUGGACUAUGACUCUAGAGAGCAGAGUUCAAAUCUCAGCUUGGCC